CGAACCUUUACUUAACGAAAGAAGAUGAACUUGAUUUUUCGAUGUAACGACGCAAAAUUUAUUUUCUUCACCAAGCUCCGCUGCAUUAAAUAUCCAGUCAGAUAUACGGUCAUAGUAAACUUGGCUCGUUUCAACAUCAACAACUGCAAAAUAGGUUCCUCCCCAAACAAAUAAUCCUUGUUUACAAGGAAGCAUUCCAUGUAUUCUAUUAUGAAAUGGAAGUAAAAUUGAUUUAAUUAAAUCACUUUCGUGUCGACUUUCAGAAACAUCGUAAAUUCUUAAACAAGGUCCUUGAGCACAGCAUAAAAACUUAUCAUUGUGAAUAAGGGCCAAGCUAGUAACAGGACCCACAAAGUUAACUGGCUCUAAAACACCUUUAUCACCCUCAACAAGCAUUCUUAAACCCUUCUUAGAUUUUUAAGUCCAGAUUCUUCAAGCUAAAUAUAAUACGCCGUCAUAAAAACCGUGAGAAGAAUUAGAAAAAAAAUGGUAUUAACCGAUUAAGCAGUAAGGAUUGAAUAAGCUCAGCUUAAAAAACUGCAAAGAGCAAAAAACCCUAGUAGUAGAAAUAGAUUGCGAUGGUGGUGAGGUUCAAACCGAUUGUGGAUACUAGAAAAGCGCGCUUUCUGAUACAAUGCCCAAAAUACUUCAUGACAAAAUAGUUGUAUUUCUUUUAUAAGUACUAUGCUUGGACCGCCUCAUGAAUCAUUUAAACAUGGAGAUACCGAAUACAGAACGAAGUCGCUUUUUUCUUGACGAUAAGC